AUCCUUGCGCUUGGGGCAAUGGCGCAACCUAUGAGUUUCUAACCGAUGCUGCGUCUAUUGUCUGUUGAAAACUAAAUUCCAGACUCCCUCGGGGGCCUGAGUUUCUGAUGAAGUCUUCAAAUU